rnacentral:rRNA from 1 species
UACAGAGGAGCCAAGCGUUGUCCGGAUUGACUGGGCGUAAAGCGCACGCAGGCGGUUGCGCGCGUGGGGUGUGAAAUCUGGCCGCUUAACGGCCAGGCGCCAUCCCAUACGGCGCGACUGGAGGGCUGCAGAGGUCGAUGGAAUUGCCGGUGUAGUGGUGAAAUGCGUAGAGAUCGGGCAGGAACACCCAGGGGGAAACCAGUCGACUGGGCAGCACCUGACGCUGAGGUGCGAGAGCGUGGGGAGCGAACCGG